AUGGCCCCCGGGCCCGCCGCUGGACGCUGGGCUCCUCGGGCCGGGAUGACCGCCCCCAGGGCCCGCCGCUGGACGCUGGGCUCCUCGGCCCGGGUUUGGGGCCGUGCUGACCGCCCCCCCGGAGCAAAUGGAGGUAAGAGCGUUGGCGGGGUCCGGGGAGGGUUCUUGGAGCCGGAGAGCCGGGAUCAGCGCCGGCCGGGACUCCGAGGGCUGAGGGUUGGGAGUCUGGCACAGAGGCCUGAGAAACCUCCUCCUCCUCCUCUUCCUUCUUAUCUUCCUCUUCCUUCGUCUCCCCCUCCUUCUCCUCCCUCUCCCCCUCCUCCACUUCGUCCUCCUUCUUCCUCUCUUCCCCCCCUCCUCCACCUUCCCCUUCUCCCCUCCUCCUCUCCUCCUCCUUCUCCUCUCCCUCCCCUUCCUCUUCCUCUUCCUCCUCCUCCUUCUCUCCCCUUCCUUUUUCCCCUUCUAUACUUCCCCAGCAUCUUCCCCCUUCCUCCUCUUCCUCCUCCUCCUCGUCCCCUCUUCCUUCUCCUCAUCUUCCCCCUCAUCUUCCCCUCUUCCUCCUCUUUCUCCUCCUCCCUCCCUCCUCCCCUUCCUCCUCCCCUCCUCCCUUCCUCCUUCCCUUCCUCCUCUUCCUCGUCCUCUUCUCCCCUUCUUCUCUCCCCAACAUCUUCCCCUCUUCCUCCUCCUCCUUCUCCUCUUCUUCCUCUUCCUCUUUCUCCCCCCUCCUCCUCUUCCUUCUCCCCUUCCUCCCUUCCUCCUCCUCCUUUUCUUCUUCUUCCUCUUCCUCUUUCUCCCCCCUGCUCCUCUUCCUUCUCCUCUUCCUCUUCCUCUUCCUCUUCCUUCUUCUCCCCAUCGUCCUCCUCCUCCUUCUUCUCCUCCCCCUCCUCCUCCUCUUUCUCCUUCUCCCCCCUCUUCUUCCUCCUUCUCCUUCUCCCCUGCCUUCUUCCCCCCUCCUCUUUCCCCUCCUGUUCUUCCCCAGCAUCUUCCCCCUUCCUUCUCUUCCUCUUCCUCUCCCCCUCCGUAUCCUCCCCCUCAACUUCCCUCUUCCUCCUCUUCCUCCUCCUCUCCUCCCUCCCCUUCCUCCUCCCCCCUCCUCUCCCCUCCUCUUCCCCUUCUCCUCUCCUCCUCUCCUCCUCUUCCCCUUCCUCUCUUCCCUCUUCUCUUCUCCUCCUCCUCCUCCUUCUCCUACCUCUUCUCUUCUCCUCCUCCCCACUCCUUCUCUUC
rnacentral:lncRNA from 1 species